UACAGAGGAUGCAAGCGUUAAUCGGAUUUACUGGGCGUAAAGGGCGCGUAGGCGGCUUGACAAGUCACUUGUGAAAUCUCCGGGCUUAACUCGGAACGGCCAAGUGAAACUGUCAUGCUAGAGUGCAGAAGGGGCAAUCGGAAUUCUUGGUGUAGCGGUGAAAUGCGUAGAUAUCAAGAGGAACACCUGAGGUGAAGACGGGUUGCUGGGCUGACACUGACGCUGAGGCGCGAAAGCCAGGGGAGCAAACGGG
rnacentral:rRNA from 1 species